GAUAAACGCUGGCGGCGUGCAUGAGACAUGCAAGUCGAACGGACGACUCGACUUCGGUUGAGUCGUUAGUGGCGGACGGCUGAGUAACGCGUAGGUGACCUGCCCCGAAGUGGGGAAUAACUGCCCGAAAGGGUGGCUAAUACCGCAUGUGGUGAUGCGUUCGAUCGCAUCAGUAAAGCCGCAAGGCGCUUCGGGAGGGGCCUGCGUCCGAUUAGCUCGUUGGCGAGGUAAUGGCUCACCAAGGCUACGAUCUAUAGCUGGUCUGAGAGGAUGAUCAGCCACACUGGGACUGAGACACGGCCCAGACUCCUACGGGAGGCAGCAGUAAGGAAUAUUGGACAAUGGAGGAAACUCUGAUCCAGCCAUGCCGCGUGAGUGAUGAAGGCCUUCGGGUUGUAAAGCUCUUUCAGAUGUGAAGAUGAUGACGGUAGCAUCAGAAGAAGCUCCGGCUAAAUUCGUGCCAGCCGCCGCCGUAA
rnacentral:rRNA from 1 species